CAAAUACUCCCUCCGUCCGGAAAUACUUGUCAUCAAAAUGGAUAAAAAGGGAUGCAUCUAGAUGUAUUUUAGUUCUAGAUACAUAUCUCUUUAUCCAUUUUGAUGACAAGUAUUUUCGGAUGGAGGGAGUAAGAA
rnacentral:pre_miRNA from 1 species